rnacentral:lncRNA from 10 species
GCCUGGCAGCUUUUAGGAGGGGGCGGGCCCGGGGGUGGUGGCCCCAGGAGCGGUUGCCGCGGGGACCGGGCAGUGACGCGGCCCAAGGGCGGAAGUGAGAAAGUUGUCUGCGUCUCGAGGCGAGUUGGCGGAGCUGUGCGCGCGGCGGGGCGAUGGGGGGCUCGGGCAGUCGCCUGUCCAAGGAGCUGCUGGCCGAGUACCAGGACUUGACGUUCCUGACGAAGCAGGAGAUCCUCCUGUAAGUGCUGCCUUGAACCCUGCCUCCGACCCCGGGAUCCUCUAGAGACAGCUUCGGGGGCGCUGUCCCGAGGGAGGGGCGGGGGCUGGCCUGAGGUCUGCAGAGGAGCGGGAGCUGGAGGCCGGGAGACCUAGCCCGGGCUGCGCCCUCCUCCCGGCACGCCCUCCCCGCCCUCGCCUGAGGCCCCAGCGUGGCACCGCGGAGCCACCUUACAGCCUCCAGGAAAAGUUAGGCGCUCUUUGACCCUGGGCUCCACUAGCUUCAGCACUGCCGAACUUCCUGCCCCAGUCCGGCAGGGGCCGACCUUGCCCAGUGGCUAAACCACAGAAGCCUUGGGGAGCCCGGCUCCUUCUCCCAACUUUACCUGAAUAAUACAGUAACCGUUAUCGCUUUCUGAGCACUCACCAUGUGCCAGGGACUGUGCUAAAUGGUUGCCUGCGUUACCUAAUUUAAUCUUUAGGAGAGAGGUACUGGACAAUGAAACAGGUUCAGAAAGGUUUGGUAACUGCUUAAGACAACACUCUGAGUAAGUAGAUUUGAACUUGGGCUGGAAGCCCUUUUGCCGGAUUUAUGCAGGCCAGGUUCCUGUGGCAAAGAUAAGCUCAUGGGAAGGAGGUGGAGGCCGAGGAGGACAGUUCAGUGUGGUUGCUAAAAAGGAGGCUUUGAGGGUAAGAGAUCCCUGGAGUGAAGGUGAGAAUGAGAUUUUUGGUUUUGCUCUUUUCUCCGUUUUUUUUUUUUUGAGACAGCGUCUCGCUCUGUCGCCCAGGCUGGAGUGCUGGGGCACGAUCUUGGCUCACUGCAGGCUCUGCCUCCGGGUUCAAGUGAUUCUCCUGCCUCCGGGUUCAAGUGAUUCUCCUGCCUCAGCCUCCUGAGUAGCUGGGAUUAUAGGCACCCGCCACCAUGCCCGGCUAAUUUUUGUAUUUUUAGUAGAGAAGGGGUUCACCAUGUUGCUCAGACUGGUCUCAGACGCCUGACCUCCAAAGCUCCGCCCGCCUUGGCCUCCCAAAGUGCUGGGAUUACAGGUGUGAGCCACCGUGCCUGGCCAAUUCUUUAGGGCCAACUUCUGGCUCCUUUCCCAACUUCUUCAUCCCUUGGGGAUCUCUAGAAUCAGUGCCAAGCACAUAGUAAAUGCUCAGUAAAUACUCAUUGCAAGAAUAGACUCCUAGGCUGUACUGCCUUGUGACAUGUCCUUUUGCUUACCGUUGCCUGAUGACUCGGAAGUUCUGUGUACGUGGUUUUAGCUCCUCACCUGGUUGACAAUGAGCAGCAGGCAAGGAGUGGGAAUGAACACACAGGGAGACCGAUCGCUGAGAACACCGACAGUUCCCCUCUCUCUACCAGAGCCCACAGGCGGUUUUGUGAGCUGCUUCCCCAGGAGCAGCGGAGCGUGGAGUCGUCACUUCGGGCACAAGUGCCCUUCGAGCAGAUUCUCAGCCUUCCAGAGCUCAAGGUGCAAGCGCUCCCCUCCUUUGACACCUCUCCCACCACUCCCUCCCUGCUAGACCCCCUAACUCCAUCUGCCACUAGCUUUGGGAUCAUGGGGUCACUGGUCCCCACUCUGGUCAUUUUUCUGCUUAGUUCUGAUUUUCUAGGGGCAAGGACUUUACCAAAAUCACCUGGCAGAAUUAUCUAGAAUGGUGCUUUUCAAAUGGGGAUUCUAGAACAUAAUCUUGGAAGUUCAAAGAAGUUUUGUCCCUUAAGAGGAGUUGAGGUACCUCAUUAGAGUUUGAGGAACCGUGUUCUAGAGGCUGAUUGCCACUCCGUAAGGCUGCUGCAAAAUUUCUGUGCAAAGGGCCUGGCCCGGUGCCUGUAACACAAUAGCUGUUCAAGUAAAUAUUUGUGUUUUAAAAUAACCAGCCCAUCUCGUUCCCUUUGUUUAGGAUGACUUCUUCUUCCCUCUCUGCCCACACUUACGUUGUAUGUGACCUGCCUUUGGGUUAAACACUUGACUCCCAGGAAGCCAUCUCAGUCCCUUCCCCAGCUGGGUCAGUUUGCUUUCCUGUGCCCCCACUGCCCUCCAUGUUGGCCCCAAAGCACUGACUGUUCACCCCCACGAGGCUGAGCUCGCUGGUGCUGGUCCUGUGACCUGCUCUCUCAAGUUUCUGGUAGGCUUUAAUGAGCGUGUGACCUGGGCCACGUCCUGUGGCGUUUGUUCUCCUAGGCCAACCCCUUCAAGGAGCGAAUCUGCAGGGUCUUCUCCACAUCCCCAGCCAAAGACAGCCUUAGCUUUGAGGACUUCCUGGAUCUCCUCAGUGUGUUCAGUGACACAGCCACGCCAGACAUCAAGUCCCAUUAUGCCUUCCGCAUCUUUGACUUUGAUGAUGACGGAACCUUGAACAGAGAAGACCUGAGCCGGCUGGUGAACUGCCUCACGGGAGAGGGCGAGGACACACGGCUUAGUGCGUCUGAGAUGAAGCAGCUCAUCGACAACAUCCUGGAGGAGUCUGACAUUGACAGGGAUGGAACCAUCAACCUCUCUGAGUUCCAGCACGUCAUCUCCCGUUCUCCAGACUUUGCCAGCUCCUUUAAGAUUGUCCUGUGACAGCAGCCCCAGCGUGUGUCCUGGCACCCUGUCCAAGAACCUUUCUACUGCUGAGCUGUGGCCAAGGUCAAGCCUGUGUUGCCAGUGCGGGCCAAGCUGGCCCAGCCUGGAGCUGGCGCUGUGCAGCCUCACCCCGGGCAGGGGCGGCCCUCGUUGUCAGGGCCUCUCCUCACUGCUGUUGUCAUUGCUCCGUUUGUGUUUGUACUAAUCAGUAAUAAAGGUUUAGAAGUUUGACCCU